rnacentral:rRNA from 1 species
UACGUAGGGGGCAAGCGUUGUCCGGAUUUAUUGGGCGUAAAGAGCGUGUAGGCGGCCAUACAGGUCAGCUGUGAAAACUCGAGGCUCAACCUCGAGACGUCGGUUGAAACCGUAUGGCUAGAGUCCGGAAGAGGAGAGUGGAAUUCCCGGUGUAGCGGUGAAAUGCGUAGAUAUCGGAAGGAACACCAGUGGCGAAGGCGGCUACCUGGACAAUUGCUGACGCUCAGGCACGAAAGCGUGGGGAGCAAAAGGG